AACGAACGCUGGCGGCAUGCCUAACACAUGCAAGUCGAACGAGACCUUCGGGUCUAGUGGCGCACGGGUGCGUAACGCGUGGGAACCUGCCCUUAGGUUCGGAAUAACUCCCCGAAAGGGGUGCUAAUACCGGAUAAUGUCUUCGGACCAAAGAUUUAUCGCCUUUGGAUGGGCCCGCGUUGGAUUAGCUAGUUGGUAGGGUAAAAGCCUACCAAGGCGACGAUCCAUAGCUGGUCUGAGAGGAUGAUCAGCCACACUGGGACUGAGACACGGCCCAGACUCCUACGGGAGGCAGCAGUGGGGAAUAUUGGGCAAUGGGCGAAAGCCUGAUCCAGCAAUGCCGCGUGAGUGAUGAAGGCCUUAGGGUUGUAAAGCUCUUUUACCCGGGAUGAUAAUGACAGUACCGGGAGAAUAAGCGCCGGCUAACUCCGUG
rnacentral:rRNA from 1 species